UACGUAGGGGGCUAGCGUUGUCCGGAAUCAUUGGGCGUAAAGCGCGUGUAGGCGGUCCGGUAAGUCCGCUGUGAAAGUCGGGGGCUCAACCCUCGAAAGCCGGUGGAUACUGUCGGGCUAGAGUACGGAAGAGGCGAGUGGAAUUCCUGGUGUAGCGGUGAAAUGCGCAGAUAUCAGGAGGAACACCAAUUGCGAAGGCAGCUCGCUGGGACGUUACUGACGCUGAGACGCGAAGGCGUGGGGAGCAAACAGG
rnacentral:rRNA from 1 species